rnacentral:rRNA from 1 species
GACGAACGCUGGCGGCGUGCUUAACACAUGCAAGUCGAACGGAAAGGCCCUGCUUUUGUGGGGUGCUCGAGUGGCGAACGGGUGAGUAGCACGUGAGUAACCUGCCCUUGACUUUGGGAUAACUUCAGGAAACUGGGGCUAAUACCGGAUAGGAGCUCCUGCUGCAUGGUGGGGGUUGGAAAGUUUCGGCGGUUGGGGAUGGACUCGCGGCUUAUCAGCUUGUUGGUGGGGUAGUGGCUUACCAAGGCUUUGACGGGUAGCCGGCCUGAGAGGGUGACCGGCCACAUUGGGACUGGGAUACGGCCCAGACUCCUCCGGGAGGCAGCAGUGGGGAAUAUUGCACAAUGGGCGGAAGCCUGAUGCAGCAACGCCGCGUGCGGGAUGACGGCCUUCGGGUUGUAAACCGCUUUCGCCUGUGACGAAGCGUGAGUGACGGUAAUGGGUAAAGAAGCACCGGCUAACUACGUG